rnacentral:rRNA from 1 species
UACGUAGGUGGCAAGCGUUUGUCCGGAUUUACUGGGCGUAAAGAGCGCGCAGGCGGUCGUUCAAGUCGCGUGUGAAAGCCCCCGGCUCAACUGGGGAGGGUCAUGUACUGAUCGACUCGAAGGCAGGAGAGGGUAGUGGAAUUCCCGGUGUAGUGGUGAAAUGCGCAGAUAAUCAGGAAGAACACCCGUGGCGAAAGCGGCUCUCUGGAACGGUACUGACGCUGAGACGCGAAAGCGUGGGGAGCG